rnacentral:rRNA from 1 species
CCUUGCACACACCGCCCGUCACACCACGAAAAGUCGGUUCUACCCGAAGUGGCUGCGCUAACCCGCAAGGGAGGCAGGCUCCUAAGGUAGGGCUGGUAAUUGGGGUG